rnacentral:rRNA from 1 species
UACGUAGGGUGCAAGCGUUGUCCGGAAUUAUUGGGCGUAAAGAGCUCGUAGGCGGUUUGUCGCGUCGAAUGUGAAAACCCGGGGCUCAACCCCGGGCCUGCAUUCGAUACGGGCAGACUAGAGUUCGGUAGGGGAGUCUGGAAUUCCUGGUGUAGCGGUGAAAUGCGCAGAUAUCGGAAGGAACACCGGUGGCGAAAGCGGCGCGCUGGACCUCUUCUGACGCUGAGGCGCGAAAGCCAGGGGAGCAAACGGG